CCUACGGGAGGCAGCAGUAAGGAAUAUUGGUCAAUGGAGGCAACUCUGAACCAGCCAUGCCGCGUGCAGGAAGACGGCCCUAUGGGUUGUAAACUGCUUUUGAACUAGAGAAAACCUUGGUACGUGUACCGAGUUGAUAGUAUAGUUAGAAUAAGCAUCGGCUAACUUCGUGCCAGCAGCCGCGGUAAGACGAAGGAUGCAAGCGUUAUCCGGAUUCAUUGGGUUUAAAGGGUGCGUAGGCGGACUGAUAAGUCAGUGGUGAAAUCUCUCAGCUUAACUGAGAAACUGCCAUUGAUACUGUUAGUCUAGAGUACAGAUGAUGUGGGCGGAAUAUGACAUGUAGUGGUGAAAUACUUAGAUAUGUCAUAGAACACCGAUUGCGAAGGCAGCUCACAAAACUGUAACUGACGCUGAGGCACGAAAGUGCGGGGAUCAAACAGGAUUAGAUACCCUGGUAGUCCGCACCGUAAACGAUGAUUACUCGUUGUUGGCGAUAUGACAGUCAGCGACCAAGCGAAAAGCGAUAAGUAAUCCACCUGGGGAGUACGCCGGCAACGGUGAAACUCAAAGGAAUUGACCGGNNGAGAGNGCGAGGCGACACGAGGGAGAGG
rnacentral:rRNA from 1 species